AGUUAACAAAAUCUAAGAAAAUCCUCAAUUCCCCAUAUAGGCAGCACUUCUGUUAGCAGCAUCAUUCUGAAGCUGCCAUUCCUUAUCUUUUAGGUACAGCAGAAGCGGCGGCUGCUCACUUCUCAAAUCGGUAGCACCGCAGCCAUAGAGGUUCGGCCUUUCGUAACCGUGGAAGAGCAUGUUUUUUUGGUUCUCGUUUGCGCCGUAAGCUGAAGGGAAAGCUAGAUGGCGCAAUGGACUCUCCAUAUUCAUUGUUGGAUUAGAAGCUAACUGACUCCCUGUUUGAUACAAAUGG
rnacentral:misc_RNA from 1 species